ensembl:lncRNA novel transcript
UGAAGAGAAAAUAUGUUUGGGGGUGGCAGAGUAUCAAGUAACAUUCUUCUCAUAUGGGUUAUUUCAGUUUUCAUCAAUAGGAAAAUUGCUUUGAAGAUAGCAUCUGUAGAAACAAAAAUGGGCUUUGAAAUUGAGUAAUGAAAUGUGGUUAACAGUUAACUGAUGUGAUGUCAUUAACACUUUGGGGAGUGGGGUGGGGGUGGAGAUAUUCUAGAGAUGCUUAGUUGCAUUGAAUGAGUUUCAUUCCUGACUGGCAUGAGCCGUUUACCCUAAUCAUCCUUCCACACUGUACCUCAUCCUGUUAACUAUACAAGACCUCAAAAUGAGAGGGGGGGACAUAAUGCUUCUCAAUUUCAUAGGUUUUGCCUUUUUUUGGAGUAGGGAAAAUUACAGUUCCUUAUUCCCAUUCCCCUUGCAUUUUUUUUUCAUUAUUAAAAUGAAGUUGUCAUUGUCUUUUAAAUAUGAAACUACUUUUCCCAGGAAGGACAAUUGGUUGGAAAGACUGUUCUAUAGCUGCCAGAGACUGGAUAAGCGUGACCAGUCAACAAUUCCACGCAAUCUCCUGAAGACAGAUGCUAUCCUUUGGCAGUGGGCCAUAUGGGAAGCUGCACAAUUCACUGUUCUUUCUAAGCUGAGAACCCCACUGGGCAGAGCUCAAGACACCUUCCAGACAAUUGAAGGUAUCAUUCGAAGUCUCGCAGGUCACACAUUAAACCCUGAUCAGGAUGUUAGUCAGUGGACAACUGCAGACAGUGAUGAAGGCCAUGGUAACAACCAACUUAGACUUGUUCUUCUUCUGCAGUAUCUGGAAAAUCUGGAGAAAUUAAUGUAUAAUGCAUACGAGGGAUGUGCUAAUGCCUUAACUUCACCUCCCAAGGUUGGUUUCCGGGAGAUAGUGUUGUUUUAUAGCAGUUUAAUGGUCACAGCUGGCAGUAUGUGCAGAGCUGAAAUCACAAUAGACUUGUGUAUUUGGUUUAUAUAUAGGUGAGACAUCCUUACCUACAAAUUGAACCAGUCCUGAGCUUUUCUUUCUCUUAUCGUAAAGGUCAUUAGAACUUUUUUGUAUACCAAUCGCCAAACUUGUCAGGACUGGCUAACGCGGAUUCGACUCUCCAUCAUGAGGGUAGGAUUGUUGGCAGGCCAGCCUGCAGUGACAGUGAGACAUGGCUUUGACUUGCUUACAGAGAUGAAAACAACCAGCCUAUCUCAGGGGAAUGAAUUGGAAGUAAGCAUUAUGAUGGUGGUAGAAGCACUAUGUGAACUUCAUUGUCCUGAAGCUAUACAGGGAAUUGCUGUCUGGUCAUCAUCUAUUGUUGGAAAACAUCUUCUGUGGAUUAACUCAGUGGCUCAACAGGCUGAAGGGAGGUUUGAAAAGGCCUCUGUGGAGUACCAGGAACACCUGUGUGCCAUGACAGGUGUUGAUUGCUGCAUCUCCAGCUUUGACAAAUCGGUGCUCACCUUAGCCAGUGCUGGGUGUAAGAGUGCCAGCCUGAAACAUUGUCUGAAUGGUGAAUCCAGAAAAAGUGUGCUGUCCAAACCGACUGACUCUUCCCCUGAGGUUAUAAAUUAUUUAGGAAACAAAGCAUGUGAGUGCUACAUCUCAACUGCCGAUUGGGCUGCUGUGCAGGAAUGGCAGAACGCUAUCCAUGACUUGAAAAAGAGUACCAGUAGCACUUCCCUCAACCUGAAAGCUGACUUCAACUAUAUAAAAUCAUUAAGCAGCUUUGAGUCUGGAAAAUUUGUCGAAUGUACCGAGCAAUUAGAAUUGUUACCAGGAGAAAAUAUCAAUCUACUUGCUGGAGGAUCAAAAGAAAAAAUAGACAUGAAAAAACUGCUUCGUAACAUGUGAAGUCCAGAUCCAAGGGAACCUCAGAAAUCCAUUGAAGUUCCAUUGUUAAGAAGUUCUGUUUGUUUGGCAACUGCUUUAAACCCGAUAGAACAAGAUCAGAAGUGGCAGUCUAUAACUGAAAAUGUGGUAAAGUACUUGAAGCAAACAUCCCGCAUCGCUAUUGGACCUCUGAGACUUUCUACUUUAACAGUUUCACAGUCUUUGCCAGUUCUAAGUACCUUGCAGCUGUAUUGCUCGUCUGCUUUGGAGACCACAGUUUCUAACAGACUUUCAACAGAGGUCUGUAUAUUUUUACAAGCACACUCUUAUGACUAUUAAUGGUCAUUACUGUAGAACAAAGACCUUAUUUUUUGAGUUUUUUGGAAUAGGAUUUGUAGUUGGGCAAGCUGGUAAAUCCAGAAAUCUAACAUGCUGUUUUCAGGCAGUCUUUCAUUUGGGAAGUACAUGGGGCAGAUGGAAGAACCUGAGAUAAUCGCAAGGAUGGCAAAUUGCUCAGUUUUUUCUUCUAUUUUUGGGGUGGGAGGUGGUGUAUGUAAAGACAGUUCCUUUAGGCAGAUCACGUAAAUUUUAGAUUUGCUGCAAACAAAGAUCUCUCCUCUUCAUCCUAAAUGGGGUAAAGUUCGACCAGAGAUGGGGGCUUCUGAAUGAAUGGUGAUCUUCGAGAACUUCAUAAUAAAGCAUUAGUUGUAAUGUU